rnacentral:rRNA from 1 species
AUGGCGCCAGCACCACAGCAAGAAGCUUCUCCGAAGCUCAGGGUACUGGAGAGCGCCGUCGUAGCGCCCUGGCCGAUCCCUCCGGUGCCGGAGACCUCCCUCCCGCUCACCUUCUUCGAUGUCUUUUGGCUCAACUUCCCGCCGGUGGAGCGCGUCUUUUUCUACCACCUCGUCCCCGGCCCCGGCGCCGCCACCAUCCUCUCCAACCUCAAGACCUCACUCUCCCAAGCCCUCCGCGCCUUCUACCCGCUCGCCGGCCGCCUGCGCCUCAGGCCCGGCACCACCGACCGCCACGAGCUCCACUACCAGCCCGGCGACGGCGUCACCUUCACCGUCGCCAUGUACGACCUCGACGUCGACGAGCUGGCCCUGGACGGGCCGAGGGAGGUCGCCAAGAUCGCACAGCUCGUGCCGCCUCUCCCGGACGGCGGCGCGGUGCUCGCCCUGCAAGCCACCGUGCUGCGCGGCGGCCGCGGCCUCUCCGUCGGCAUGGCCCUGCAUCACGCCGCCUGCGACGGGGCGUGCUCCACGCGUUUCCUCCACACCGGGGCGGCGGCCAGCUCCGGCGCCGUCGCGCCGGCGCCCCCAGUCAUCGACAGAACUCUCGUCAAGGACCCAAGCGGUCUUUGCGACGCCUUCAUUAGAGCCAUGGCGAGCACCGAGAAGAAGAAUGACGUCAAGAUGGCCGGCGAUAAGCUCCUUCACCACCUUCACUCUGUCCAUGGAAAACAUACAGCGCAUCAAGGACGUCGUGCGGCUCGCCGCGGCUGGGAAGGGGGGGCGCGCCGCCGCGAUGCUCCUCACUGGUUGCCACCUUCGGCUUCAUCUGGUCAUGCCACCAGCGCGCUAAACACGACGACGCAGCAAGUAACGGCGGCGGCGGCGGCUCGACCUACUUCAUCUUCCCCGUCGACCACCGCUCGCGGAUGGAGCCUGAUCCCAUUCCAGACGAGUACCUCGGCAACUGCGUCGGCGCCGCCCUGA